GAUGAACGCUGGCGGCGUGCCUAAUACAUGCAAGUCGAGCGAACAGACGAGGAGUUUGCUCCUCUGACGUUAGCGACGGAUGGGUGAGUAACACGUGGAUAACCUACCUAUAAGACUUGGAUAACUUCGGGAAACCGGAGCUAAUACCGGAUAAUAUAUUGAACCGCAUGGUUCAAUAGUGAAAGACGGUUUUGCUGUCACUUAUAGAUGGAUCCGCGCCGCAUUAGCUAGUUGGUAAGGUAACGGCUUACCAAGGCGACGAUGCGUAGCCGACCUGAGAGGGUGAUCGGCCACACGGGAACUGAGACACGGUCCAGACUCCUACGGGAGGCAGCAGUAGGGAAUCUUCCGCAAUGGGCGAAAGCCUGACGGAGCAACGCCGCGUGAGUGAUGAAGGUCUUCGGAUCGUAAAACUCUGUUAUGAGGGAAGAACAAAUGUGUAAGUAACUAUGCACGUCUUGACGGUACCUAAUCAGAAAGCCACGGCUAACUACGUG
rnacentral:rRNA from 1 species